GAGUUUGAUCCUGGCUCAGGACGAACGCUGGCGGCGUGCUUAACACAUGCAAGUCGAACGGAGCGAAUGAAAGCUUGCUUUUAUGAGCUUAGUGGCAAACGGGUGAGUAACACGUAGACAACCUGCCGACAGGAUGGGGACAACAUUCCGAAAGGAAUGCUAAUACCGAAUGAAGCGGAGGAGAGGCAUCUCUCUUCCGUGAAAGAUGGCCUCUGAACAUGCUGUCACCUGUCGAUGGGUCUGCGUCUGAUUAGCUAGUUGGUGAGGUAACGGCUCACCAAGGCGACGAUCAGUAGCCGGUCUGAGAGGAUGAACGGCCACAUUGGGACUGAGACACGGCCCAGACUCCUACGGGAGGCAGUAGUGGGGAAUCUUCCGCAAUGGGCGCAAGCCUGACGGAGCAACGCCGCGUGAGUGAAGAAGGUCUUCGGAUCGUAAAGCUCUGUUGAUGGGGACGAACGUGCGAAGGGUGAAUAAUCCUUUGUAAUGACGGUACCUAUCGAGGAAGCCACGGCUAACUACGUGCCAGCAGCCGCGGUAAUACGUAGGUGGCGAGCGUUGUCCGGAAUCAUUGGGCGUAAAGGGAGCGCAGGCGGGCAUGUAAGUCUUUCUUAAAAGUUCGGGGCUCAACCCCGUGAUGGGAAAGAAACUACAUGUCUUGAGUACAGGAGAGGAAAGCGGAAUUCCCAGUGUAGCGGUGAAAUGCGUAGAUAUUGGGAGGAACACCAGUGGCGAAGGCGGCUUUCUGGACUGCACUUGACGCUGAGGCUCGAAAGCCAGGGGAGCGAACGG
rnacentral:rRNA from 1 species